UUCCGUAGCGAACUGCGGAAGACAUAAUAAAUUUUCCAACGAUAGUUGUUGGAAUAAUAAUAAUCAUCCUACCUUUGUGAAUUGUGUUGAAUAAUUUUUUUUUAAAAAUUAUUAGAAUGUCUUUCCCUGAAAUGUGAGGAGCUGUAUGGUUGUUCACAAUUCAGGAUAGAUUUCUAGUAAUUUUUAGGAAGACUUUUUAAAUAAACUUUUGUAUUCAUUGUCUAAAUAAUUUUAAUAAUGAUUUAAAACAACUUUGACAAUGGAUCUUGGUUCUCGCAACGAUGAAGAACGCAGCAAAUGCGAUAAUAGUGUGAAUGCAGAUACGUGAAUCAUCGAAUCUUCGAACGCUAUUGCACUUUUUAGUUACUAAAAAGUAUGUCUGUUGAGUAUCAUAAAAUAUCUUCAUAAAAAAUUAUUUUUUAUGGUUUGAGUUUUACACGAUAAAGUUGUUCACUUUAAAUGAAUUUUUAAUGGAUUGAAAAUUCAAUUUUUAAAUUGGAUAAAAUUUUCCUUCUCAAGAAUAACCUAGACAAUUUAAAAAUAAAAUUCAACCCAAACAGAAAGGAAAUUUAAACAACUUGAUCUCAAAUCAGAUAAAGUACCGCUGAACUAAGCAUAUCAAUAGCGGAGGAAAGAACAACAAGGAUUCCCUAGUAACGGCGAGUGAAGCGGAAGAGCUCAAUUUGAAAUCUUAAAGGGUUCCCUUACGAUGUAGUUUAAAGAGUGUUUUCUGUUGAGUUUCGGUAAAAGUUCUUUGAAUAGGAAUCAUAGAGGUGAGAUCCGUAUUGACGUUACUUUCAGCUGUGUGAUACACUUUCAAAGAGUCGAUUGUUUGGGAAUGCAGUCCAAAAUGGGUGUAAAUUCAUCUAAAGCUAAAUAUUGGCGAGAGACCGAUAGCGAACAAGUACGUGAGGGAAGAUGAAAAGAACUUGAAAAGAGAGUUAAACAGUACGUGAAUGUCAAAGGAAGCGUUGACACAGUGUUGUUUAGUUGAAAAUCAUUCAAUAAUUUUGAUUUUAGUAGUAUUGACUUCAUCAGCUUGCUGCUUUCUUUCAGGAAUUAUUGAAUGCCUUUCAGUUAACAAGUCAACAUCAAUUCUUUGUUGUAAAGGGUAAGAGAAGGUGGCUACGCUUCGGCGUAAGUGUUUAUAGCCUUUUACCUCUGCAUCGGAGAGAUUGAGGACAGCAGCGUAGACUCUUCGGGUUAGAUCACUUGUGCUAAGCUAUAGCCUUGUAUAACAACUGUUGACUAUGCUCAGUCAUGUAGCUUACUCGCUUGUGCUAUUUACCUACGUAGGAU
rnacentral:misc_RNA from 1 species